rnacentral:rRNA from 1 species
AACGAACGCUGGCGGCAUGCCUAACACAUGCAAGUCGAACGAGACCUUCGGGUCUAGUGGCGCACGGGUGCGUAACGCGUGGGAACCUGCCCUUAGGUUCGGAAUAACUCCCCGAAAGGGGCGCUAAUACCGGAUAAUGUCUUCGGACCAAAGAUUUAUCGCCUUUGGAUGGGCCCGCGUUGGAUUAGCUAGUUGGUAGGGUAAAAGCCUACCAAGGCGACGAUCCAUAGCUGGUCUGAGAGGAUGAUCAGCCACACUGGGACUGGGACACGGCCCAGACUCCUACGGGAGGCAGCAAUGGGGAAUAUUGGACAAUGGGCGAAAGCCUGAACCAGCAAUGCCGCGUGAGUGAUGAAGGCCUUAGGGUUGUAAAGCUCUUUUACCCGGGAUGAUAAUGACAGUACCGGGAGAAUAAGCUCCGGCUAACUCCGCG